GAUGAACGCUGGCGGCGUGCCUAAUACAUGCAAGUCGAGCGAACGGACGAGAAGCUUGCUUCUCUGAUGUUAGCGGCGGACGGGUGAGUAACACGUGGAUAACCUACCUAUAAGACUGGGAUAACUUCGGGAAACCGUAGCUAAUACCGGAUAAUAUUUUGAACCGCAUGGUUCAAAAGUGAAAGACGGUCUUGCUGUCACUUAUAGAUGGAUCCGCGCUGCAUUAGCUAGUUGGUAAGGUAACGGCUUACCAAGGCAACGAUGCAUAGCCGACCUGAGAGGGUGAUCGGCCACACUGGAACUGAGACACGGUCCAGACUCCUACGGGAGGCAGCAGUAGGGAAUCUUCCGCAAUGGGCGAAAGCCUGACGGAGCAACGCCGCGUGAGUGAUGAAGGUCUUCGGAUCGUAAAACUCUGUUAUUAGGGAAGAACAUAUGUGUAAGUAACUGUGCACAUCUUGACGGUACCUAAUCAGAAAGCCACGGCUAACUACGUGCCAGCAGCCGCGGUAAUACGUAGGUGGCAAGCGUUAUCCGGAAUUAUUGGGCGUAAAGCGCGCGUAGGCGGUUUUUUAAGUCUGAUGUGAAAGCCCACGGCUCAACCGUGGAGGGUCAUUGGAAACUGGAAAACUUGAGUGCAGAAGAGGAAAGUGGAAUUCCAUGUGUAGCGGUGAAAUGCGCAGAGAUAUGGAGGAACACCAGUGGCGAAGGCGACUUUCUGGUCUGUAACUGACGCUGAUGUGCGAAAGCGUGGGGAUCAAACAGGAUUAGAUACCCUGGUAGUCCACGCCGUAAACGAUGAGUGCUAAGUGUUAGGGGGUUUCCGCCCCUUAGUGCUGCAGCUAACGCAUUAAGCACUCCGCCUGGGGAGUACGACCGCAAGGUUGAAACUCAAAGGAAUUGACGGGGACCCGCACAAGCGGUGGAGCAUGUGGUUUAAUUCGAAGCAACGCGAAGAACCUUACCAAAUCUUGACAUCCUUUGACAACUCUAGAGAUAGAGCCUUCCCCUUCGGGGGACAAAGUGACAGGUGGUGCAUGGUUGUCGUCAGCUCGUGUCGUGAGAUGUUGGGUUAAGUCCCGCAACGAGCGCAACCCUUAAGCUUAGUUGCCAUCAUUAAGUUGGGCACUCUAAGUUGACUGCCGGUGACAAACCGGAGGAAGGUGGGGGUGACGUCAAAUCAUCAUGCCCCUUAUGAUUUGGGCUACACACGUGCUACAAUGGACAAUACAAAGGGCAGCGAAACCGCGAGGUCAAGCAAAUCCCAUAAAGUUGUUCUCAGUUCGGAUUGUAGUCUGCAACUCGACUACAUGAAGCUGGAAUCGCUAGUAAUCGUAGAUCAGCAUGCUACGGUGAAUACGUUCCCGGGUCU
rnacentral:rRNA from 1 species